rnacentral:rRNA from 1 species
GAUGAACGCUGGCGGCGUGCCUAAUACAUGCAAGUCGAGCGAACAGAUGAGGAGCUUGCUCCUCUGACGUUAGCGGCGGACGGGUGAGUAACACGUGGAUAACCUACCUAUAAGACUGGGAUAACUUCGGGAAACCGGAGCUAAUACCGGAUAAUAUAUUGAACCGCAUGGUUCAAUAGUUAAAGACGGUUUUGCUGUCACUUAUAGAUGGAUCCGCGCCGCAUUAGCUAGUUGGUAAGGUAACGGCUUACCAAGGCAACGAUGCGUAGCCGACCUGAGAGGAUGAUCGGCCACACUGGAACUGAGACACGGUCCAGACUCCUACGGGAGGCAGCAGUAGGGAAUCUUCCGCAAUGGGCGAAAGCCUGACGGAGCAACGCCGCGUGAGUGAUGAAGGUCUUCGGAUCGUAAAACUCUGUUAUUAGGGAAGAACAAAUGUGUAAGUAACUAUGCACGUCUUGACGGUACCUAAUCAGAAAGCCACGGCUAACUACGUG